UGAUUUGUGUGCGUGUCCCCCAGAGGCUU
rnacentral:piRNA from 1 species